rnacentral:rRNA from 1 species
AUACGCAUCCUUUGCUGAGGAUACGGUUAACGGAGCGAAAGCGACGUUCAACCGCAAAAGAAGCAGAGGGGGCUUAGUGGUGGGGUGACUGCGUACCUUUUGUAUAAUGGGUCAGCGACUUAUAUUCUGUAGCAAGGUUAACCGAAUAGGGGAGCCGGAGGGAAACCGAGUCUUAACCGGGCGUUAAGUUGCAGGGUAUAGACCCGAAACCCGGUGAUCUAGCCAUGGGCAGGUUGAAGGUUGGGUAACACUAACUGGAGGACCGAACCGACUAAUGUUGAAAAAUUAGCGGAUGACCUGUGGCUGGGGGUGAAAGGCCAAUCAAACCGGGAGAUAGCUGGUUCUCCCCGAAAGCUAUUUAGGUAGCGCCUCGUGAAUUCAUCUCCGGGGGUAGAGCACUGUUUCGGCUAGGGGGCCAUCCCGGCUUACCAACCCGAUGCAAACUGCGAAUACCGGAGAAUGUUAUCACGGGAGACACACGGCGGGUGCUAACGUCCGUCGUGAAGAGGGAAACAACCCAGACCGCCAGCUAAGGUCCCAAAGUCAUGGUUAAGUGGGAAACGAUGUGGGAAGGCCCAGACAGCCAGGAUGUUGGCUUAGAAGCAGCCAUCAUUUAAAGAAAGCGUAAUAGCUCACUGGUCGAGUCGGCCUGCGCGGAAGAUGUAACGGGGCUAAACCAUGCACCGAAGCUGCGGCAGCGAACGUAUCACUUAAAGCGAUUCAGCGGGUUACGAUUGACGGAGCGAAGCGACGUCAAAGCGUAUACAAAGUCGAGUCGGUUUAAGGAUACGUUCGUUGGGUAGGGGAGC